rnacentral:rRNA from 1 species
AGCUCUCUCUCCUGGUCGAGGAGAAGGCGGCCGCGAUUCCCUAGUGAUUUCUGUUUGAUCCCGGCGGAGGCUACUGCUAUUGGGAUUCGAUUAAGCCAUGCGAGUUGAAUGAAUUUAGAUUCAUGGCGUACGGCUCAGUAACACGUGGAUAACUUACCCUUAGGACUGGGAUAACUCUGGGAAACUGGGGAUAAUACCGGAUAUUAGGCUAUGGCUGGAAUGCUUUGCCUUUGAAAUGUUUCUUGUAUUCGCCUAAGGAUAGAUCUGCGGCUGAUUAGGUCGUUGGUGGGGUAAUGGCCCACCAAGCCUAUGAUCGGUACGGGUUGUGAGAGCAAGAGCCCGGAGAUGGAACCUGAGACAAGGUUCCAGACCCUACGGGGUGCAGCAGGCGCGAAACCUCCGCAAUGUACGAAAGUGCGACGGGGGGAUCCCAAGUGUUAUUCUUAAUAGGAUAACUUUUCAUUAGUGUAAAAAGCUUUUAGAAUAAGAGCUGGGCAAGACCGGUGCCAGCCGCCGCGGUAACACCGGCAGCUCAAGUGGUAGC